CCUACGGGUGGCAGCAGUGAGGAAUAUUGGUCAAUGGCCGAGAGUCUGAACCAGCCAAGUAGCGUGAAGGAUGACUGCCCUAUGGGUUGUAAACUUCUUUUAUAUGGGAAUAAAAUGUUCCACGUGUGGGAUUUUGUAUGUACCAUAUGAAUAAGGAUCGGCUAACUCCGUGCCAGCAGCCGCGGUAAUACGGAGGAUCCGAGCGUUAUCCGGAUUUAUUGGGUUUAAGGGGAGCGUAGGUGGAUUGUUAAGUAAGUUGUGAAAGUUUGCGGUUCAACCGGAAAAUUGCAGUUGAAACUGGCAGUCUUGAGUACAGUAGAGGUGGGCGGAAUUCGUGGUGUAGCGGUGAAAUGCUUAGAUAUCACGAAGAACUCCGAUUGCGAAGGCAGUUCACUGGACUGCAACUGACACUGAGGCUCGAAAGUGUGGGUAUCAAACAGGAUUAGAUACCCUUGUAGUC
rnacentral:rRNA from 1 species